AAUGCCACAUUGAGAGACCUGGCUAAGAGGCCACUGAAGUCCAAUAUGUAAGCAAGCAGCUGAUUGUUUUAAAUGAGGUAAAAUGUCCAGACCUAAGUGAGUUAUCCGUGGAAGACUCCACCUGAGUGACUGGAGGAUCAAUAUUAAUCAGUGUUGGGAAAACUAAGACAUUGAGAAGAUUGAAGAGGACACAUCCAGUCCUGGUUUUCAUAGAGAAUAAAAGCCGUGGGAGCAGUCUGAGAAUUAAUGGUUCAGAGGUUCAGUCCAUUAUCCUCAAGGCGAGAGCAUGACAGCAUCCAGGCAGGCAUGGUGCAGGAGGAGCUGAGAGUUCUACAUCUUCACCCGAAGGAAGCCAGGAACAGACUGAGUAUCCUCAGGCAGCUAGGAGGAGGGUCUCCAAGCCCACCCCACAGUGACACACUUCCUCCAACAAGGCCAUAACUUCUAAUAGUGCCACUCCCUGGGACGAGCAUAUGCAAACCAACACACUGACCCCCAAGAUCUGCUUGCCUCAGGGAUGAGGAGAUCUUCAUGUAUACCAAGGGAUGCUAUGUAACCUUACUCCU
rnacentral:lncRNA from 1 species